rnacentral:lncRNA from 1 species
UAAAACACCCAUGAAAGCUGUCCCAGCAUCCAAUGCUGCAGAUAGGACAUAGUUAUACUUCUGCCACCAGCGCUUGCGAUAUCGAAAGACAAAGUAGUUGAAUAUAGUUCCAGUGACAAGCCAGCUUGCGAUGUUGGUGGGAGUUGCAGGUGGCAUUCCGGCAAAACCAUAAGAUAUUACUGGUAUAUUUAUCAAUGCAAUCCAUUUCUUUUCAGGGAACAUUUUGCUCAGUACCCAGAAAGGAACCGGUAAGAAAGCUCCAAUGAGGAACAGCCAUACCAAGUUCCUGUAGAGGCCACCAGGUCCAAAGAGCCUCCUUGGUCCAAUGAGGCCCCAGAUUACAGAAGCAUCAAACGUGACUCGGUACUUAGGACACGUCCAUGGACUACUAGAAUCAAGUACAUCAGUAUCACAGAUAUUUUCAAUGUUCUCCAACAUCCACCACGCAACUGCAAGAUUGAGUGUACCAGCAACAAAGGUCCCCACUAGCUGAGGAAAACACCAAAUCUAUGGUUAAUACUUCACACUACUAAAACAUGAAAUUUCAAUGCCCAAAUGUACAGGUUUCUGCAAUGCCAUACCUGAGCUACAUACAUGCACCGUGGUGGAAUUUUCAUAUAGUGUCCAAGUUUAAGGUCAGCUAAGAAAGAAAGAGCAUGGAUCGUGCUAAUUCGUCCAUAAAUCUUGAAAAGCAGGUUUGCAAUUGGUUUUCCUGGAAGAACAUAUCCAAUCAUGAACUGUGCUAUUAUGUCAUACCCAGGUUGCUGCAAUGUAAACACUACAUUAUGAGAUAAAACAGAAAUACCCUCAACUAAGAUUUGGCUAUCCAUUAAAAGCAAAGUUUCCUAUGUCUAAGAGGGCAGAUAAGAAAAGACACAAUUUUAAAAAAAUUGGCCAUACCUGAUUCGUAGUUGCUUGAAUAACACCAAUAGGAAGGGUAACAAGCCAAGCCAAGGCAAAGGCAAAGAGCAUACCCCACCAUCGCAGCUGCACAGUUUCUUUCCAAACAAA